rnacentral:rRNA from 1 species
UACGUAGGGACCGAGCGUUGUCCGGAAUCAUUGGGCGUAAAGAGCUCGUAGGCGGUUUGUCGCGUCUGCUGUGAAAUCCCAGGGCUUAACCCUGGGCCUGCAGUGGGUACGGGCAAACUAGAGUGCGGUAGGGGAGAUCGGAAUUCCUGGUGUAGCGGUGAAAUGCGCAGAUAUCAGGAGGAACACCGGUGGCGAAGGCGGAUCUCUGGGCCGUAACUGACGCUGAGGAGCGAAAGCAUGGGUAGCGAACAGG